rnacentral:rRNA from 1 species
UACGUAGGGUCCAAGCGUUAAUCGGAAUUACUGGGCGUAAAGCGUGCGCAGGCGGUUGUGUAAGCCAGAUGUGAAAUCCCCGGGCUUAACCUGGGAAUGGCAUUUGGGACUGCACGGCUAGAGUACGGCAGAGGAGACUAGAAUUCCUGGUGUAGCAGUGAAAUGCGUAGAUAUCAGGAGGAAUACCGAUGGCGAAGGCAGGUCUCUGGGUCGAUACUGACGCUCAUGCACGAAAGCGUGGGGAGCAAACAGG